ACAGGUCUUCGGAUGCUGACGAGUGGCGAACGGGUGAGUAAUACAUCGGAACGUGCCCGAUCGUGGGGGAUAACGAGGCGAAAGCUUUGCUAAUACCGCAUACGAUCUACGGAUGAAAGCGGGGGAUCUUCGGACCUCGCGCGGACGGAGCGGCCGAUGGCAGAUUAGGUAGUUGGUAGGGUAAAAGCCUACCAAGGCAUCGAUCCGUAACUGGUCUGAGAGGAUGAUCAGUCACACUGGAACUGAGACACGGUCCAGACUCCUACGGGAGGCAGCAGUGGGGAAUAUUGGACAAUGGGCGAAAGCCUGAUCCAGCCAUGCCGCGUGUGUGAAGAAGGUCUUCGGAUUGUAAAGCACUUUAAGUUGGGAGGAAGGGCAGUAAAUUAAUACUUUGCUGUUUUGACGUUACCGACAGAAUAAGCACCGGCUAACUCUGUUCCAGCAGCCGCGGUAAU
rnacentral:rRNA from 1 species